rnacentral:lncRNA from 1 species
CAUAGGCCACUCUGCGAGAUAUACAGCCAAGCUUAUCAAUGCUUGACAUGAGGCAAACCAUGAUAGGUCCAAAUGAAACCACCGAAUCCCAUCUUUUUUGAGUCAUUAUGCCACUCUGCCUCGAGCUACUCACCCCUCGCAAUUAUGAUAGGAUUUGCGAAGUGACACAUUAACACGACUCUGAAAUCCUACCCAUCAAUCACUCUAAAUUGAGCAACCUAACUCUUGGGACUAGCUAAAAAUCAAGGUCUGAACAUGCAAGCUAAAUAAUCCAUUAGAUGAAGAAAAAGCCGAGGUUUUAUC